UACAGAGGGGGCAAGCGUUGUUCGGAAUUACUGGGCGUAAAGGGCGCGUAGGCGGCCUUCUAAGUCGGGUGUGAAAGCCCCGGGCUCAACCUGGGAAUUGCAUUCGAGACUGCAUGGCUAGGGUGCGGAAGAGGGAAGCGGAAUUUCCGGUGUAGCGGUGAAAUGCGUAGAUAUCGGAAGGAACACCAGUGGCGAAAGCGGCUUCCUGGUCCAGCACCGACGUUCAGGCACGAAAGCGUGGGGAGCAAACAGG
rnacentral:rRNA from 1 species